UUCAUAAAAAAAAAUUAUAUAAAGUCUCAUUAAAAAUUAACUGUGUAAAGCGUGCUAGAUGGUUUUGGUAGUCCAUUUCACAAAGCUAUUCCUUCUUUUUGCCCAAUAAUCACACGCAGGAAAAGUCUUCACGCACCAAGAUGACAUUUCUGAAUCACAAAACAUAUUCAUCAUUUUAAGGGAGACUUGACUUGCCAUUGUGUUAUUUGUUUUUCAGUCAUGACUAUCAUAAUCAAAAUCUAUA
rnacentral:misc_RNA from 1 species